AUUAACAAAUAUUACAAAGUGUUGCCAAAAGCCAUAAACAAGUUUUAUUUAUGAUUGUAAUAUUAAAGAGAGAAGAGAGAAAAAAAAGUACAUUUGAUAUUGAAAAUACUACUUGAGACACACAAACUGUAGUUAAUUGUGAAUUCAUUGAUUUAUGAAAAGUCUUUGUAGUGAGCUGAAGUGAAUCAGAAUCACUUUUAUCACCAGUACGGGUGUACAAGGACAUGAAAAAGAAUUAAAUCAAAAUAUACAACAAAUAAAUUACUAUAUCAAUCAAUUAAUCAACCUUUAUUUCGAGUCAGGCACAACAAAGAAGGAGGAAAAUAUAAAAAGGUUGAAUACUGACAAAGUAAAAUGAGUCUCGCUGAGGGCCAGAAUUAAAAAAAAAGUCACAAUAAAAAUAAUUAAAUGUUGAUAUAAAGUGUAGUUACUUUCCAACGUACGGGGAAUGAAGCCUGAUCCGGUCAGUAGCUGCUGAUUAAUGAAUGAAUAAAUAAUUAGAAUAUAUUAAAUCUGCUGGACGGUGACAACAACAACAACAACAACAACAACAACAACAACACUGGCUUCACCUCAGUGUCUUUGUUUAUGACGGUUAUCCUCCGUAUCAAGCUGCUCUGAUUCUUUUCCUCUCUCCAUUUUUCUGCAUUUUUACGUCCGAUCAAUGAUGCAGCAGCACUUUGUUUACUGUGGUGAUGAAGGAAUCAUCUCGCAGCACCAGAAACAGAAAUACGGGCUCUUUCUGACUCUGAUGGGAAAUCCAUCGCUCCGAAGGCCCCGCAGCACGCCGCCAUCUUUAAACUAUUGACCGCGGAAGGUGCGAGGAGUUUUUCGCCGGUUUUCCAUCACUGCUCGUCUCCGUCCCAUUACAACAGAUUCGGGUCAGAGAACUUGACGAAUGAUUGGCUGUGUCUCGGUGACCCCGCCGGCCCAAUCAGCACGGGGACGUGUGGUUGAAAUUGCGGGGCAGAUAAUGUUGCUGGCAGACGCGUCAUUAAUUACUGCCCUUCUAUCAAUAUCUAAUUAUACCGGCUGUCUGGCUGAGCGAGAAGGAAGAUGGACCUCUUACUGGAAGUCUUUAUAUUGGCAAUAUAGCCACCAAGCCGUGAUGGCGUCCCCCCCCCACCACCACCAUCCCACCUUAAAGCAGCCACUUUUUUUUUUUCCAGCCGGGUCGUCGCUGCCCGCAGCUCAAGCCGGAUUUCAUUUUAGCUGUUUAAUCAGAGACUAUUUUACUCCUGGGAUGCAAAGUGAAUGCAAUUAAUUUCCAUUAACCACCUGGUAGGAAAGAUAAAACGACAGCAGUGUGAGUCCGAGAACAACAGCCUUAAAAUAAAGCCUCUCAUUUACACCUCGGAUGUGUUCUGUCUAUAUUAAGCUCAUUAAUGUCGGGGCUUGUUUUUUAUUUUAAAUUGGAUAUUUCUCUCAACACGACAGAUUUGUUGUCGCACACACUGUGGUUUGUUUGGUUUUUUUUCCCUUCUGAAAAAAACUGAGCAGGUCAGUUUAAAAAUGGUUUUCACCUGGAUGUUAUUUCUCCGUUUAUUUCUUUCUCCGUCUGCGAGAAGACGCUGACCGCCAAUUUAUAAUAAACGAGGUUCCUCUUGUGACAAGCAGAACUCAAUAAACUCCGCCAGAUAAAGAAGAAAAGGAGUCGGGGAGAGAAAAAUGUAGAAACUCGAGCAGAAUACGAACAAGAAGCUGAGUCACGGGCAGGUUGAGGAACACGAGCCAACCAAACCCUGUACAAUUUUCUGAGCAUUUAAGAAUUCUACAUUUUGUUUGUUUACUUGAUGAACCGUUUAAAUUAUGUUGUCUGUCAUUAUAUCUCCCUACAUUUUAGUCUUGUGUCUCUGUGUAUAUAUGAAGGUGGAAAUUAAAUUUAUGGUUCUGCUUAAUCUAAAAAAUAUAUAAAACUGACUCUGCACGACCGGACAAGAAGAAAAACAAAUACAUUUAUUCUAAGAGCUAUUUUUCUGACAGUUGAAUCUACUUUGAUUUGAUUUAUUUAUCUAAAAUGCAAAAAUAAAGUAAAUCCUACAUACAUUUUAAUGUACGGCAGAUCAUUUUGAAGAAAACAAUUAAGUGACAUACAUUUGAACUUAUUUUGAAACAAAUUUAUCUUGUUCCAUGUUCAUUGUUUUUCAUACUAUUGUUUUCUUGUUUUCUUAUUUUUGAAGCGGCACGUUCCCAGUUUUUUUUUCUGUUAGUCACUUUUCUUCCAUUCUUUAAGAGUUCUGGCACAUAUUGAUCUAAAAAUGUGUUUCUCCAUCGAUCCAUCACUUGAUCGAUUGUUCCAAAAAUGUUCAACUCAAAGGAUUGUAAGCAAAAAAAAAAAAAAGAAAGAAAAGAAAAAUCAUCUUUCACUUAAAGAAAACCAGAAUAAACCUUCUCCUCUCCGCGUUUUCAUUUCUGAAUCGUCCUUCACUUGGGAAAAAAAGAAAAAUGAAGGCUGCUCUCUCAAACAACGCCACAAAGUCUAAACCAUUUACAGCCACGUCGAACUUAAAGUACUUAUUUUUUAUCAAACGGGUUAUUUAUAGGGUAGAUAAUGUCCCAGGGAAUAAAACUUUUGUGCGUUUCAUCAGUAAAACAGCUAAGAAAGAUGGCAGCGCUAUCUGCAAAUUUUGGACCUGAAACAAAAGCGCCAUUAAGGUUUUAAUCAGCGUGCAGUAGGAAGAGCACAGUGCAUUAGCCGAGGCAUGAAGCAGGGAGCCGGGCUGGUUAUUUUGGCAGUUAGAUCAUUGUUGCAUUAAUGUGUUUCCCUCAAGAGGACGAUGCAGCUGUCCUUGAGUAAAGCACUUAAAUGCUAUUGCCUCAGUAAAAACUCGGCUGCUGAGCGGUCGGACGGGGAGGAAGGACUGCGGAUAGAUUGACCUGCUGGUCUGUUCUGUGUGGCGGAGGUGAACGUCGGGCUGUAGGGUGGAAAUAAACGUGAAUGCACCCGAACGGUGUGAAUACAAAUACCAUCACACAAGAUAAAAUGAGAUAAUCCCUUGUUGUGGCGUCGCUCUUGAACUAAUGCGAGUGUUAAACCGCUUCAAGCAAAUUGACAUAGUGGCGCAAUCAGUGGGAGUAAUAUGAUACUAUCAGCUAACAGUGUACAGCAGGAUGUUAUGUAAUAUGAUCACAGACAGAGAGAUACAUUCCUUUGUACUCUGUCAGUCCCAGUGGGAAAUCGUACCGUUACCGGAAAAAACAGACAAAGUAUAAUAAUGAUUUUGUAUUCGGUGGAGAAAAGAAGAAGCUAUUUACUGGCUCCAAGUCCGAUCCGCUGCGAUGGAAACAUCAUUUGUGCCGCGAGUUCAAAGGUAUAAUAUUAUGCAAAAAUUCUCCAUUUAAAUGUCUUAAAACAACCAGACAUUUGUUUUAUAUUUGCUCGAGCCGUUCCCAACAAUGUUCAAACCCAGACAAACACACAGCCGCACCGAAGGUAACGCUGCAUUUCACUCUGUAACUUGAGGGAGCGAAGGAGGGAAGCCGGCGAAUGAGACUAAACGCAGCGUAAAUUAACUUUGACUGAGUCACCUCAGAUAUAUUUUCUUCAGUAAUGGUGGCUGUUUAAUGGUGCAAGAUGAGUCUGAGAGCCGGUGUGUUUGUGUUUAUUCCAACCCAAUCACCAGAAUCAGUGUUAGCAGAGGAAGAUUCUGCAGAACCGCAGAUAAGUUAUGUUGUAACUUCACCUUUGUUCAGGUCUUUCUUAUUCCAGCUCUGUGCUCACGCUCUGGUUAGGUUCAGGCACAGAAAACACCUGGUUAGGAUCAGAAAAAUAACAUGUUACUGCUUAAAAUACCUGAUUUGUUCACCACAAACAUGUUUCGCUUGGCCCGAGAUCUUUUUAAACAUAUCCAGCAGUAUUGUACAAAUGUCAUAUCCCAUGACGCGUACGUAUGGAUAUUAACUGUAAGCUUGCGAGCAGCAGCAUUGUUUUGGGUUUGAAACCAGAUCAAUCACUGAACUCACCAGAUCCUGCAGUUCUCACUCUCUUCUGUUCCCUUCGCCUCUCCGUAACGUUACGUUCAUGAAGUAAAGUUUGUUUCCCUUCCAGCUCCAGUAGGUAGUCAAAUACACACCUGACAAUAGAGGUCACCUCCGCGGAACCUGAUGCGACUCCGGUUGUUUAUUCCUCCAGAAGUUCUGGCUCUGCACGUUAUCACAAGCCAACAAGGCUGCAAGACGAGAAACACUACUGGAGACAUUUCCGAUCUUUUUAGUGGCGUGAAAACCAGCGACCUGAACCGGCUAUUUUUCAUGGAAAGUCCGUCCAUCUCCAUCCUUGAACAUGGCAACCGAACCAGGUAUUGUAAGCCAAACUAUUAAGUAUUCUGCACCCUAACCAAGAGGCUUUUGUGUCUAAAUCUAUCUUGUGUCUAAAAUAGAAAAUUCAUCCUAAACAACAAAAAGAAACGUCCAGUUUUAAAUUACCUGUGGUUUUUGCAGAGACUUACUUUUACUAAAGCCUGCUACUUGACAUGCUACAGGUAUAAAACAAACACCUGCCAUGUUACUUUUGUUUGACACCUGACAUCGGUCCAGUCGUGCCAUCAACCAGCCGACGUCAUGUUUCCAUCAGCCAAAGUGGAGUGAAAUAGCAGAGCAGGCCUCAACUGUCUGAAACGUGAAUAUGGCUUCCGUUGCCUAUUGUCAGACUAAUGGCUUCUGUUCUCAUACGCACAAUUUUUGCACCGAAAUUCACCCAUCACAGAGGCAGGAAUCCAUCACAAAAGAGGCCGGGACAAACACUUCCCCUCUGACAGCAGCCUCAAUAAACCAGCAAGUGAUGCAGCCAAAAAGUCGAGUUUCGAGUGAAGAUUGUGGCCGCAAUUUUCUCCGACUUUCAAGGCUAUCGGCGAUGUUAUUGUCUGUUCUCGGGUACAAAAACUUUCUUUCUCAGAGGUCCACCGGCCGGUCCGGGCGCGGGUGCAUUAGACGGGUUGAGUGGUGACAGGAAAAUGUGGGGAAAAAAGUAAAAAGACGAAGCGUGUUUCCGUAACGUUUCUGCCAAAAAGGCCGCAGUGAUUUCUGGUUGUGUUGGGAGACAGACGAGCCGGUCGUCCAGCAGCACCUGAUCCGUCACCUCCCCGCCGUCUCGCCUUCCUGCAUGACUCAAAAGAGCAUAAAAAUCCUCCGGCAACCGCAGGUCAAUUAUCGUCAGUGAGCCCCUGAGCGCAGAUUAUUUCACAGACGACUUCUGGGAAUGAUAAUCAAUGCUUCCGGCUGUCAGCGGGAGCUACCUGGAAUUAUUAAAAAGACCAGGAUAAACUCCUGGGGGGGAUUUUUUUGUGGAGAAAAAGGAAAUGUUUUGUCGUUCAUUGCAUUCUUCAAACGCUUCUUGUUCCGCUGCCACAUCAAAUUAUUCUCCCUCCUGUGUACACCUGUCUUCACAUCUUCCAGGGAGCCUCGUGGAGGAAUGCCGUGUCAAUAUUCUUGUGAGCGGAAGACGUCUGCUGUUGUUUCCUGACACAGACAAGUUCAUGUGGUGUUCUCAUAAGGACACAUUUGCACUGAGCUGAGCAAACCACGUUAAGAACUCCUCCGUAAGAUCCGAGCGGUUCUUCCUCAUACGAGCCGGUUUUACUGUACAUGAAGCUCCUCUUACUGUACGUCUCUGCAGCUGGACUGUCACGGACUGGAGAGGAUUAGAGAGGCUUCAUCGUACGCAGAACUGACUCAGACCUUCGACUGAUGUUCUUGUAAUUUCACGGGUAUUUUAGAUCUUUUUUUUCCUGUGUAAAUGUUCCCACGAGCUGGAGGAGAGGCAGAGCAGUGAGGUGAAAUCCAGUGCCAACGCGAUUUUAUUUCACGCUCUCUAUGAUAUCUGCACGUGGCAGCUAUGGUGUAGUUACGAUUAGGGAAAUGUUGUUGUUAUGGCAAUAAACUAAAGUUUGGUUCAUAACCGCACUGUAUUUGCACUCUUAACUGUAUUUUUAGUCCGUUCGUAUUGCAUUUCUUCUGGUGGUGGCAGUGCAACAACCAGGAAACUUUAACAGUUUGUCGUUUUCUCCUCAGCUUGAAGUUUGCUGGGUGACGUUUUGGUGCCUCGAACGCUGCAGCCCGAAACAUCAGGAUGAAAUGAUCACAACGUUUUCUGCAGAUCGUUGACGCGCUCACACGUUUUCGUGUCAGAAGCUGCGUAUCAUCUUGGCAUUUCGACAAAACAUCACGUUCGCAUCACGUGUUUAUAAUCUGGCGUUCACGUCUGAGGAGGGUGGAGGGAGAAUCAACUCGUAAGUCUUUGUAAUUAAACUAAUUAAAUCAACAAAACAAGUUUUAUGACAAAUUGCAACUUUCUCAAGAUGAAAAACAUUGUAAACUGAACAUCGUAUGUGUGAUAUAUGACAUAAUUUAACAGGAUUGAAAAAUAAACAUGAGGCAAACGUAACGGGUGCGACUUCAGGACACGUUGCAAAUUACAACCAACAUCCGAGUUAGUUAGCAGUCUUCAUGCAGAAAAUGGCAAAUUUGGUUGUAAAAAAAAAUAAAUAAAUACGCUCAAAUGCUGCAAAUGUUCCACCAAAACAAGUUCCCCCGGCACUGUUUUUGCCAGGGCACCAUCUGCUGCAGCCUGAGAUUUUUUCUGCCAUCCAAGACCUGAUUGUGAUUUGUUAGAGAAAAGAUGGAGCAUUUCUCCCUCCACUGCAGGAUUACCCAGGGUGUAGUGGAGAUAGAUCCGGUUGUCAUCGACUUGGUUCAAGUAAAUUAAACUAAAAUUACUGUUCAGGCAUUUGAACAAACUGUAGUCUUGUGAAGACGGUCAACUUAUCGAUUAAAGCGAUUCAGCACCAAGAA